rnacentral:rRNA from 1 species
GACGGGCCCCGCACAAGCAGCGGAGCGGUGUGGUUUAAUUCGAUGCUACGCGAAGAACCUUACAGGUCUUGACAUCCGAUGCUAUUCUAGAGAUAGAAAGUUACUUCGGUACAUCGGUGACAGGUGGUGCAUGGUUGUCGUCAGCUCGUGUCGUGAGAUGUUGGGUUAAGUCCCGCAACGAGCGCAACCCCUAUGUUAGUUGCCAUCAUUCAGUUGGGCACUCUAGCGAGACUGCCGGUAAUAAACCGGAGGAAGGUGGGGAUGACGUCAAAUCAUCAUGCCCCUUAUGACCUGGGCUACACACGUGCUACAAUGGUUGGUACAACGAGUUGCGAGUCGGUGACGGCGAGCUAAUCUCUUAAAGCCAAUCUCAGUUCGGAUUGUAGGCUGCAACUCGCCUACAUGAAGUCGGAAUCGCUAGUAAUCGCGGAUCAGCACGCCGCGGUGAAUACGUUCCCGGGCCUU